GCAUGCCGGAGGGGUAACCCACUGGUAUGACGGAGCGGCGAACGGGUGAGUAACACGUGAGCAACCUGCCCCACAGACCGGGAUAGCCCAGGGAAACCUGGAUUAAUACCGGAUACCCUCGAAGGACCACAUGGUCCAUCGAGGAAAGGCCUUUGUGCUGUGGGAUGGGCUCGCGGCUUAUCAGCUAGUUGGUGGGGUAAAGGCCUACCAAGGCAUCGACGAGUAGCUGGUCUGAGAGGACGAUCAGCCACACUGGAACUGAGACACGGUCCAGACUCCUACGGGAGGCAGCAGCAGGGAAUCUUGCGCAAUGGGCGAAAGCCUGACGCAGCGACGCCGCGUGGGGGAUGAAGGCCUUCGGGUUGUAAACCCCUUUCAGGAGGGAAGAAAUUGACGGUACCUCCAAAAGAAGGACCGGCCAACUACGUGCCAGCAGCCGCGGUAAUACGUAGGGUCCUAGCGUUAUCCGGAAUCAUUGGGCGUAAAGAGCUCGUAGGCGGUUCAGCAAGUCGGCUGUGAAAGUCCGAGGCUCAACCUCGGAAUUGCAGUCGAUACUGCUGUGACUUGAAUUCGGUAGAGGAGAAUGGAAUUCCACGUGUAGCGGUGAAAUGCGCAGAUAUGUGGAGGAACACCAGUAGCGAAGGCGGUUCUCUGGGCCGAUAUUGACGCUGAGGAGCGAAAGCGUGGGGAGCAAACAGGAUUAGAUACCCUGGUAGUCCACGCCGUAAACGUUGGAUACUAGGUGUGGCGGUCUUACCAAUGACUGCCGUGCCGAAGCUAACGCAUUAAGUAUCCCGCCUGGGGAGUACGGCCGCAAGGCUAAAA
rnacentral:rRNA from 1 species